AGUCAAACCAAAUUCAAGCAUGCACAAAGAAAGUCAACAAGCAUGGGUCAACUUCAAAAAAUCAUAUCAAAUUGAAAACAGAUGAGAAAUGAAUGAGAUUAACACCAAUGCCAAGCUUGAGAUGUCUAGUUAUCACAUAUCAAAUUUCAUGUCCAUCUAAUAAAGUAUGAGAAUUUCACAAAUGAAAUGGGAACAUGUGUCACACAAAGUCAACAUUUGACUAGGCAGGGAGGAAAAAUCUCAAACAAAUGGAAAAUAGUUCAAAUAAAUCCAAGAAAAUUCACAAGUCAACUAGACAUACAAGAGUAGGCUCAUGCAAAAUUUCAAUCCAUUUGGAGGUCAAGAAGCAUAGCAAUGAAAAUCAUGAAGUUGGUCAUCAAUGGUGUGACACAAAUUGUCACACCCUAAUUCAAAAAAUCAUAUCUCACAAACCACAGAUGAUAAAUGCACAAACUCUAUACCAAAAUCACCAUGAAUGUGUCUAGUUUAAGCACAAAAAAUUUGGGAGCCAUUGGAUAAAG
rnacentral:lncRNA from 1 species